ACCAGCUGAAGGAGGAACAGAAAUCCCAGGCAAAUCCAGCUACAUUGAGAGAAAAUCCCCACCUUCUCCACCAGUGCCUAGAAGAACAGCCCAAGGUCCAGUGUGCUUCAACAGCAGCCCUGGGAACUACAAGUUGUGAACUACAAACUGCAGUAUGUUGGGAGAACUUCCUGGUUCCUGCCAGGAUGUACCCCUUAGAAUCAACAGGAAGGAAGUGUUACAAUUUCUUGGAUUCACUGGCUAUUACAAGAGAUGCAUCAAAGGCUACUCCAAACUGGCAGCCCCAAUAUUCAGAUUAACUGCAGGUGAAGCCCAGACCAGAAGGAGAAAUCAGAGGGGUCCCACUAAGAUACCCAGUACUGUUUGGACAGAUGAAUGUGACCAGGCUUUCACAGAGCUGAAGACAAAGCUGACUACUGCACUAAUACUGGGAUAUGCCGAUUACAGUUUACCAUUCAUACUCCAGACAGACUCAUCCACAGAGGGGCUAGGAGCUGUACUGGCUCAGAUUCAGUCAGGGAAGGAGAGGGUCAUAGUUUAUGCCAGCAGGGGCUUAACUCCUUCUGAAAAAAAAUCCUGACCAUAAACUGGAGUUCUUGGCAUUAAAAUGGGCAGCUGCAGAUAAAUUUAGAGACUAUCAGCUAGGACACUAAUUUACAGUACUGACUGACAACAAUCCACUGAACUAUGUUACUACGACUGCUAAAUUGAACGCAACCAGUCAAAAGUGGAUGGCAAAGCUGGCAGAGUUCAACUUUGACAUAAAGUACCAGCCUGGGAGAAGUAAUGCCAAUGCUGAUAGCCUGUCUUUGUUACCCCGAGAGGAGGUGGCAACAGUUUUGAAUGCUGGAUGCAAUGUGUCCUCCAUAGCAACCCAGGGUGAAUGCCAAAGGAAUGCAAUGCAGAGAGCUGAGUCACUCCACAAGCCAGGCAUAGAAUUAAUUCCAGGCCUGCCUAAGAAAGAAUUGAGAAGGCUACAGGAAAAGGAUGCAGUAAUCUCCCAUGUAAGGUCCUACCUGCCCAGGCAACGGGCACCCAGUGCCCAGGAGAGGCAGAAGGAAGAAACACCAGUGCUGACAUUACUGAAUCAAUGGAAGCAAUUGCAGCUGGUAGAGGGGAUCCUUUACAUGAGGACAACAAUCCUGGGAGAGGGACAGAUCCAACAGGUGGUGCUGCCAGAGAAACUCCAGAGAGAAGUGUUUGAAGCUCUGCACAUGGACACGGGAUACAUGGGCAUUGACCAUAUGGUGGAUAUCAUCCACAGUCACUGUUAUUAGCCAGGCCACCAUGCCAGAGUGAUGUCUCUCUUGCAAAAGGUGCUGCCUAAGAAAGAGAGGCAUCUCUUGUUGGGCCAAGAAUUCCUGAAGCUCAAUUGGGUUCAUGAUAUGUGUUAAUGUUUAUAUUGGUUAUAUGGUUAUCCAAUUUCCUUGUUGUGUAAAGAAGCCAUUUUGGGUUCCAAAAUGGAACCCUAGUUUUCAAAAUGGACUCCUGGGUCAUCUGACCCAACCGUCCCACUCUUUUUGAUUUAACUCUUGUAAACAACUUCCAGUUUAGACUGGGGAAUGCACAGGGUUUUUCCUUAAGGAGGAAUUUCUCCCGCCAAGGAAGAUAUAUGAGGGUGAUCAGCACUCACAAUCAGGCUGUCCAUCUUAGUGGCAGGAGUGCGUGCGUUUUCCUUUACAGGUCAACUAGAUCAGGACCAGUAACAUCAACAUCACGUUAAGAUCUUCUCCUCAAGGGACACCUUAGAGUCCUCUCCUGUGGCUUUACAUUAGCCAAGGGAUUGUAGGUCCUAAGCAACCAACAUGGCCUGUGAUGGGAUGUUAGAUGGGGUGGGAUCUGAGUUACUACAGAGAAUUCUUUCCUGGGUAUCUGGCUGGUGAAUCUUGCCCAUAUGCUCAGGGUUCAGCUGAUCGCCAUAUUUGGGGUCGGGAAGGAAUUUUCCUCCAGGGCAGAUUGGAAGAGGCCCUGGGGGUUUUUCUCCUUCCUCUGUAGCAUGGGGCAUGGGUCACUUGCUGGAGGAUUCUCUGCACCUUGAAGUCUUUAAACCAUGAUUUGAGGACUUCAAUAGCUCAGACAUAGGUGAGAGGUUUAUUGCAGGACUGGGUGGGUGAGAUUCUGUGGCCCGUAUUGUGCAGGAGGUCAGACUAGAUGAUCAUAAUGGUCCCUUCUGACCUUAAUAUCUAUGAAUCUAUGAAAACACCUCCCCUAUAGACUGAUGACGGCACUUGAACUGUGAAGAAGAUUGCUAUAAUUGGACUCUUAUUUGAUUACUUACCUUGCGGUCUAUGAUUUGGCCUAAGGGUUUGUAAGGGGCCAGCUUCAUGCCACCUAUUGUAAUCGCUGUAAUUGAAUUAUUUUUCUCUCACCUCAUUUUCCCUUAUCCUGUAUACCAAUCCCCACAAUACACUUGUUCCUGUUUGCAUCAAGA